CCUCGUUUGACUGAUGAGUUUUGAACCAACUUGCAAACUCCAAGGUCUAAAGAGGCCAGGUGGGAAAAUAAAUGAUUUUAGUGGCCAGGUAAGGCAGGAGGGAUCUGGGAGGCCUGUGGGACACUAGAGAAGCUUGUAUCCGACCGAAGACAGUGGGCUGCAUGCAGGAGUCCACAGGCCUCACUUGAACCAGUCUGCAGCUGUUGUGCUAGACUGAAAACCUAGAGCCUUGACAGUGAAUCUGAUGUUCCUGCUAUGGGGAGUCUGUAUUGCUUUCCGAUAUGGCUUUCUGAUUUGGCUUCAGGUCAAAUGUGGCUGCCUGAAGAUACUUCAGUGGGCCCACUGUGAGGUACACUUUGCUCCCGUCUCUAGGAGAAACUCCCACCCUUUUCUUCCUUUCCAGGGAUGCUGGGGGAGAGAAGCAGAUGGUAACUGCCUGCACCCAUCCCUUCCCUUGUACUCUUCCUUUGACAGAGAAGAGCGCAUGUGAUUGAAAUGGGAAUUUAUACCAGACAUAAGAGAAUAAUAACUGGCGUCAGACCGUGGCAUUACCCCCUCAUCAGGUUAUGUUUGCAUUCCAUUAACACUGGAGAUUACCAAAGGAGGGAGGAAAUCAGAAAGCCAGAUAUUCAAAUAGAGACUUUACUUGAACAUGUGUUUUUGAAAUUAGCCUCCCUGCCUGCAUAAAUGCUUUACUCUAACUGGUAUGAUUCCUAGGAAUAUUCCAGGGCUACAUUUAGUAGAAUUAACUGAUAGAAACUGUGUCGGAAUAUUAUGCUUUAACCAUUGCUGAAUAAAUAAAUGCUAGAACAUUAAAUGAUUGAGUUUAACAACAGGGGAGAUUUUUGCAGAAGAUCAGAAUAUAGACUUAAUUUCAUGAUUUAUUAAUGAUUUUCAGACUUUCGAUCGUCAAGGGUAUGUAGAAUGGAUGAUUAGGCUAACAAUUUAUUUUCCAUAGAUUCUUCUUUUCCUUACCAAUGUUUAAACAACACAUUAACUUGGGGUCUUGUUAGGAUGCAAAUCAGUGUUCAUCAGUGCAUUUCAUUAUCCUUUCAUUAUCUUCAAAAUAUUAUUUGUAGGUUACGAUAUUUUUGUUUAAAUAUUUUAAAGCUGUCUGUACCAGAAGCAUAUGUAUAUUUCUGUCUGUCAAAUGGCAGUUCUGGGUCGUGACUGGCAGUUUUAGAGAUUUGUAUGUUACCAUCAGCCAUGAUAUAAUUCAAAGGUUUUUGACUGCUUGGUUCCACGUUAACUCUCGAAUUACCUAAGUGUAAUCUUUUCUAGUUCCUUGUUCUUCUGCUUGCAUUACAAUUCUUCUGUUUGCAUUACAAUUUGCCAUAUUUCUGGUUUUUCCUGGAGAGCACUAGUUCUCCCCAGAUUUGGAAACACUCCCUAGACAUCCUUGUGACUUUGUUUUAUGUGAAGCCUGCUCUAAAAAGAUGCCAGCGCAUCCCUUUCUUGUCAAAUACUGUUGCCUAAUUGGAAGAUGAUGAGAUUUCAGUGGCAGGCACAAGCCCCACACGAUGUUAGCCGUGUAUUUCAAUGUGUGCCUUUUCUUACGGUAAUGCAAAAAUGAAUACUCACAUCCAAAGCUCCAUGGAUCUACUAGUUUAAGUUUUGUGUUUAUGGAACUGUAACCAAACAUCAGUCAAAGCACCCAAAUGUGAAACUCUCAGCUCUGCCUCUUACUAGCUGGGUGAAUUGGGGCAAAUGACUGGGUUUCUCUGAGUAUCAGUUUCCAUAGUGGGAAAAAACGGGGAUAAUAAUGAUAUUCACAUUAGAGGAUUACAGUGCGUAGUGAAGGAGAAAAGUGUAGGAAGUAAUCUCACAAUAGUAGGUCUUGGGUACAUGUGGUUUCUCUAUGGAUAUCGGUAUCGUUUCAUCCCUUUGGCCCUACAGAUGUUCUUUAAUUUUAUGAGAUAAAGUUCAAGUAGAUUUAGAUUUGCCUUUCUAAGCAACUUGGGGUUGUAUACUACCAACAAAAGUCACUGCAAAAAUGGCUUGGCAUAAAAACAUAAAAAUAUCUGGAACAAAACCAACCUCAGAACAAAGCCUGGAAGUCAUAUGAGGGCACUACUCUCCCUGCCCCUCUGUGAGAUUUUCUGUCAAGGAAUUCAUCCCUUUUUUGUGUUACAAAAACAAAACCUCAUUGGCGUGGCACGGUGGCUCACGCCUGUAAUCCCAGCACUUUGGGAGGCUUAGGCAGGUGGAUCAUUUUAAAUCAGGAGUUCAAGAUCAGCCUAGCUAACAUGAUGAAACCCUGUCUCUACGAAGAAUAUAAAAAUUAGUCAGGUGUGGUGGCAGGCGCCUGUAAUAGCAGCUACUCAGGAGGCUGAUGCAGGAGAAUCUUUUUGAGCCCAGGAGGCAGAGGUUGCAAUGAGCUGAGAUCAUGCCAUUGCACUCCAACCUGGGUGACAGGGCAAGACUCCAUCUGAAAAAAAACAAACAAACAAAAUGAAAAAACCUAUCUCAUUAGUAUGGACCACACUCAUUAAGAAUUUUUAGUAAUUCAGAGAGGAAUUAGGGUGGGAUUAACUGUUGGGGGACCUUGUAUGAGAUUUGUCAGGCAAAUUAAUCACAAAAUUCAGUUUAGAGGCAAUGAAUGUUUGAAUUACCUAAGGGAAAAAACUAUGUAUGCGCAACAGUAAGCAGGUCAGAAGAUCUGUUUACACAAAAAAUUAGAUAUGCUAAUUUUUAAAAUGUUAAAUUAUAUUGAUUCUUUUUUCAUUGGUUCUCAUUAUAAAAAUCAACUUUAUUGAGGUAUCAUUUACAUACAAGUUACUGUAUCCAUUUAAAUGGACAAUUCCGUGAUGAACAUGAGAGAAUCAUACCCGUAAAGCCACCACCACAGUCAAGAGAGAAAAUUUCCAUGUCACUCAAGACUCCUUGGGCCCCUUGAAAGUUUCUUCUUCAUUCAUGACCCUAGUCAACCAGUGACCUACUUUAUUUACUAGAAAUUUUUUUUUUUUAGAUGGAGUCUCGCUCUGCUGCUCAGGCUCGAGUGCAGUGGUGCCAUCUCAGCUCACUGCAACCUCUGCCUCCUGGGUUUAAGUGAUUCUCCUGCCUCAGCUUCCUGAGUAGUUGGGAUUACAGGCAUGCGCAACCAUGCCCAGCUAGUUUUUGUAUUUUUAGUAGAGACAGGGUUUCACCGUGUUGGCCAGGCUGGUCUCGAACUCCUGACCUUAUUAUCCACCUACCUUGGCCUCCCAAAGUGCUGAGAUUACAAGCAUGAGCCACCACGCCUGGCCAAGAUUAUUUUAUACUGUAUAAAACAUCAUAUAAAUGGACUCAUAUGUACCAUUUUGUGUCUGGAUUAUUUCACUCAUUAUUUUGACAUUCAUCCAUGUAGCAUGUCUCAGAGGUUUGUUCCUUUUUAUUGCUGAGUAGUAUUCCAAAGUUAAGGAUAUUUCACAUUUUUUAAACUUUUGUAUUUAUAGAUACUUGAGUGGUUUCCAGUUUGGGAGCUCUCGUAAAUGAAGUUGCUGUAGACAUUCAUGUACAGGUCUUUACAUGCAUGUAUGUUUGAGUGAAGAUCUAGGAGGAGAAUGAGUGGGUUACACGGUAGAUGUUGUAUUCAACUUUUUAAUGAACUGCCUAACAGUUUUCCAAAGUGGUUGUACCAUUUUACAUCUUUUUGCCCAGCAGUAUAUGGCAAUUCCUAUUGCUGUACAUUCUUGCUAGCCCUUGAGAUUUUCACUUUUAGCCAUUCUAAUGGGUGUUUGGUAAUAUCAUAGGGUGGUUUUAAUUUGCAUUUCUUGAUGAUGAAUCACGUUGAUCAUCUUUUUAUGCCCUGAUUGGCCACGUGUAUAUCUUCUUUUAUAAAGUGUCUGCUCAAAUCUUUUGCUCAAUCUUUAUUGGAAUGUCAUCACAUUAUUGGGUGGCAGGUAUUCUUUAUGUAGUCCAUACUUUGUCAGAUACAUGUAAUAUGAAUAUUUUCUUCCAUUUUGUAGCUUGCUUUGUUUUUUUAAUGAUGCCUUUUAAAAAUUAUUGAAAUAUAAUUUAUGUACUAUGCAAUUCACCCAUAAGGUAUACAAUGGAAGGUUUUGCUUAUAGUCACAAGGUUAUGCAGCCAUCACUACAACCUAAUUUUAGGGCUUUUCGUCUCUCUAAAAGAAACCCUAUACUCAUUAGCAGUCACUCUCAAUUUCUCCCUCCCUCAGUCCCUAGCAACUGCUUAUUUUUGGUCCCUAUGGAUUUGCCUAUUUUAGACUUUACAUAUGAAUGGGAUUAUCCAACAUGUGAUCUUUUGCGACUGGAUUCUCUCUCUCAGCGUCUCAGUACUUUAUAAAAAUCAACCUUAUUGGGGUAUCAUUUACAUAAAAGUUACUGUAUCCAUUUAAAUGGACAAUUCAGUGAUGAACGUGAGAGAAUUUUUGCAAGAUUAAUCCAUAUUGUAGCAUAUAUCAGUGCCUCAUUCCUUUUUAUUGCCAAAUAAUAUUUUAUUAUAUGGUUCUAUCACAUUUCAUUUAUCUAUUUUUCAGUUGAUAGACAUUUAGGUUGGCUCACUUUUUGGCCCAUAUGAGUAAUGAUCAGGCAUUUUCAUGUACAGAUUUGUUUGUGGACUUGCUUUCAUUUCCCUUGGGUAUAUACAUAGGAUUGAAAUUGCCAGGUCAAAUGGUAGCUCUUUUUUUAUUUUUUUUAACGUGCUGAGGAAUCACCAAACUAUUUUCCCAAACGACUGUACCAUUUUACAGUCCCAUGAGCAACCUGGGGGGACUCCAACUUCUCUACGUCCUUACUGACACUUACUCUCUGUUUUUGAUGACAGCCAUCCUGUGGGUGUGAAGUGGCACCUCGAGAUUUCAGUUUGUAUUUUUCUGACAACUAACAAUUUUGGACAUCUUUUCCCAUGUUAGCCACUUAUAUACCUUCUUUGGAGAGAGAGAGAGAGGUAUUCAAAUCCUUUCUUUAAAAUUGAUUGAUUUGUCUUUGUUGUAAGACUGCCAUAUAUAUUUUAUAUACAAGUCUCUUAUCAGACGUAUGAUUUGCAGAUGUUUUCCCCUGUUCUGUACAUAGUCUUCUACUUUCUUGAUAGGAUCCUUUACAGCAGAAGAGUUUUUUUUUUUUUAACUUUGAGGUAGUCUGGUUUAUUUUUCUCUUGUUGCCUAUGUUUUUGGUGUUAUACUAAGGCACGGCCACUUAAUUCUUAAUGGUACCUUUUGAUUAAGGAAAAUUUUAGUGGUGAUAAAGUGUAUUUUUUUAAUGACUUGUGCUUUUCAUGUGCUGUUUUAGAAGUCUUCGCCUAUGCAAAUAAUUUUUUCUUCUGGACGUUGGACAUUAUAUAGUUUUAGCUUUUCCUUCCCUCCUUUCCUUUCCUUUCCUUUUCUUUUCUUUCUUUUCUGACAGUGUCUUGCUCUUUCGCCCACGCUGGAGUGCAGUAGCACAAUCUCGGCUCACUGCAACCUCCACCUCGUUGCGGUCGAGUGAUUCUCCUGCCUCAGCUUCCCGAGUACCUAAGGCAGCUGUGAUUACAGGCACGCACCACCAUGCCCAGCCAAUAUUUAGUUUUUUUGUAUUUUUAGUAGAGAUGGGGUUUCACCAUGUUGACCAGGCUGAUCUCAAAUUCAUGACCUCAAGUGAUCCACCCACCUUGGCCUCCCAAAGUGCUGGGAUUACAGGCGAGAGCCACCAUGCCUGCCAACUUUUCUAUCUAGGUAUAUUUCAUGAUCAAUUUUAGAUUAAUUUAUAUAUAUGGUAUAAAGUAAUGACAAUAUUCAUUUUUGUCAUAGGGAUAUCCAAUUUUCAGCAUCAUUUUUUGAAAAUAGAAAAUAAAAGUCUUUCAGAAAAAUGAAAGUCUUAUUAAUUGCCUUAGUAUCUUUGUGAAAAAUCUGUUGACAAUAUAUGGUGGGUUAAUUUCUAGACUGGUUGUUCUGGCCCAUUCCUCGAGAUAUCUGUCCUUUUGUCGGUACACUCUGUCUUGUUUUGUUUUGUUUUCUUGGUGACAGAGUCUCUCUCUGUUACCCAGACUGCAGUGGUGCGAUCUUGGCUCACUGCAACUUCUGUCUCCUCGGUUCAAGUGAUUCUCCUGCCUCAGCCUCCCAAGUAGCUGGGACUACAGGUGUCUGCCCAACACAGCCUGCUAACUUUUUGUAUUUUAGUAGAUACAGGGUUUCACUGUGUUGCCCAGGCUAGUCUCGAACUCCUGAGCUCAGGUGAUCUGCCCACCUCGGCCUCCCAAAGUGCUAGGACUACAGGCAUGAGCCGCCAUACCCGGCACACACCAUCUUCACUGUAGCUUCAUAGUCAGUUCUCGUCAUCAGUGAGUGUAAGUUCUCUAGCUUCAGUUUUUUUUUUUCCCCUUAAAAUUGCUUUGGCUAUUCUAGACUAUUUGUAUUUUCAUGUACGUUUUAGAAUACACUUGCCUCUUUUAAUGCUUGUGGGAAUUCUGUUUGGGCUUAUAUUGAAUCUGUAUAUCAGUUUGAGAACAAUCGACAGCUUAAAACACGUAGACUUUUGAUUAAGAAACAUCAGUCUUUUCAUUUUAUUUGAGUUUUGCUCUCGAUGUUUUAUAGUUUUCAGAAUGUAGGUCUUCAUGUAUUUAUUUUAUUCUGAAAUAUUUUAUUUUUAUUCUAUUGUAAAUAGAUUUUUAUUUCAUUUUUCCAGUUGCUUACUGCUAGCAUAUAAGAAUAUAAUUGGUUUUUGUGCAUUAGCCUUUGACCUUGCUAAAUUCACUUACUAGUUCUAGUGCUGUUUUAUGGAUUUCUUACCGUUUUCUAUCUCAAUAAUCAUGUCAUCUGAAAUUUACAUUAAUUCUGGUUGGUCCCAAAAGGAAUUCCAUUUGGUAAAACUUUGAUGGUUUAAUUCUAAUAUUAAGUGUAUUUUAAUGGCAUAAUAAUAUGUCUUAAAAUAUCUUAUGUCAGAGAUUUUGAAAAUUCAAAUUAGCAUCUCUUAUUCCCUUUUUGCCUCCAUUAGUUAUUUAAAUGACUAGAAAGAGAAAAAAGCAAUGACAGGAACCCUGGACACAUCAGAAUAUAACAGUGUUGGGAAAGUAUUGGAUUGGUUUUUGGGUUUGUAGCCCGUAUUAUUUUUGGUUGCUGUAUUUUUCGUUUUUGUUUGGCAAGGAUCAGUGGUUUAUGUUCUUGAGAAGCCAUCUCUUUUUCUUUUUUGAUGUAAACAUUUUUUUUCAGUAGUUGGGAUCUCACUCUGUCACCCAGGCUGGAAAGCACUGGCCUGAUCAUAUGUCACUGCAGCCCCCAACUCCUGGGCUUAAGCAAUUCUCCCACCUCAGCCUCCUGAGUAGCUGGGGCUGUGGGCAUAUGCAUCCAUGCCUGGCUAAUUAUUUUUACUUUUGUAGAGAUGAGUCUUGCUGUGUUGUCCGGGCUGAUCUCAAACCCCAGACCUCAAGCAAUCCUCCCAGUCUCCCAAAGUGUUGGGAUUACAGGGGUCAGCUACUGCCCCUGGCACCCAUCUUUUCUGUCUGGUUCAGUGAGAAAGCGGAAAGAGUUUUUGCUUUUAUUUUGCUUUUGUUUGACUAAAGAGCUUAGAAAGUCUUUAGUUUCUAAAUAUAUGGGGAGGAUCUAAAACACCACAUUUUAGAGGACAGUAUUUUACAGUGUUUGUGCCUUGGAAAGUUUUAGUUUCCUAGGCAACGGCAUGGGGACACUGAGACACAACAGGGGAUGGUCGGCAUCAUAAUUUUAUUACCUAUCUAAUCGCUCUUUCAAUUCUGAGUAUUGCAGUAGAUUCUACCCCCCACCCCACCAUGCUGCUGCAGCAAAAGAGACUUAAUUGUUUCCAGAAGUCUAUAUUUAAAUUUUAUUUGGGUUUUUGGGAAAACGCUAUUUUUUUUUUUUUUACAGAAUUCUGUGUUUGGAACAUUCUUCUUUAGAUAGUAGGAAGUCAUUAUGACAUUGAGAGAAGUGAUAAAUAGAAAGUCAGUUAGUUUGGAAGUUAUUUUCCGUCUGACUUGUAGGAUACCAGUCCCUAUAUUUGGAGAUGAGAAAGGAUAAACUCAACUCCUCCCUCUUCACAACUCUAACAACUUAGGCAGUAAAAUAAACCUCAGGCUGAUACAGUACAAAGGAUAGAUCAGAAAUAGUUUUUCAAAAGAAAUAGAUUAUAUUGCUGUUGAAUUAUUACACAUUUCCAAUAAGACUUACAUUUCCAUAUGUGGGUAACAUCUCAAUUUCUACCUCCAGCCUGGAGCCCUGGCCAGAACACUAAGCUUGUAUAUUCAUCUGGCUUCUCUGCAGUCGCACUUGGCCAGGUAAUGGGCAUCACUCACGUACCAGAUCCAAAGUAAACUCUUGAAUUUUCCACAAAAUCUGCUUCUCCUGCUGUCUUAUCUCAUCUUAGCAAAUGGUAACUCUGUUCUUCCAGUUGCCCAGGCCGAAAACCUGGAGUCAUCCCUCACCAGGCCGAAAACCUGGAGUCAUCCCUCACUUAUCCUUUUCUCUUACACCCAACAAUCCCAUCCCUGUGGCCACCAGCUUCGGAAUUACAACAGAGGCAACCACUUCUCAUCUCUGUACCUACCACCCUGUUCCAAACCACUGUAUAAAGCUUACCUUUCUUCCCCAGUCCUGCCCCGAUGCACUGUUCUUUUUCAGUGUGUUAGCCAGGUCUCAUUAUGCCUUUGUUGAAAAACUACCAUUGGCUUCUCAUCUUCGAGUCAAAGACAAAGUUCUUAUGGUGGCCUCCAUGGCCCUGUGUGUCCUGGCCCCUGGAAACCUCUCUGACCUUCUGUCCAAUCAGUGAGCAAUCCAGUGUUUAUACCCUUGACCAGCCUAAUACAAUACACUGAUAGCAUUUUCCAGGAAAAAAAGAACCUUGUAGGUACCACUAAUGUGAAUAGGUCAGCUUAUCUGGAAAAUGUUAUUCGUUAUGGUUCAAGACGUGUUUUAAGGCCGAGUGUGGUGGCUCAUGCCUGUAAUUCCAGCAAUUUGGGAGGCUGAGGCAGGUGGAUCAUGAGGUCAGGAGUUCAAGACCAGCCUGGUCAAGAUGGUGAAACCCUGUCUCUACUGAAAAUAUAAAAGUUAGCCAGGCAUGGUGACAGGUGCCUGUGAUCCCUGCUACCCGGGAGGCUGAGGCAGAGAAUUCCUUGAACCUGGGAGGUAGAGGCUGCAGUGAGCUGAGAUCGCACCACUGCACUCCAGCGUGGGCGACAGAGUGAGACUCCGUCUCAAAAAAAGAAAAGUGUUUUAAAAGGAAAGGUAACUAGAAAAUAUCUUACAUUGUGUGGUGGUUUGUGAGGGGCGAAAUGUUUACUCAGCAGUAUCACAGGAAUUCACCACAACAGUCUCACUCCAUUUACAACAAUCAUCAUGUUUAUUUCUUAAAUAAUUUUUUACCAAUGUUGCGAGGUUUUUUCACCAGUGUUAUGAUUUCCUGCUGAGCUUGAAAAACUAAGGAUGAAACACACAUUUUUAAAAGAAUAUUAAUUUGCUUCCUGGUACCCCCAAGGCAUGAAAAUGUAUCAGCUUCCAAGAGAAAAUAUGGUCUCUCUCCUCUUGGCUUGUGCAGGAAGCGGUCUGCACAGGUCCCCGUUUGUGGGGUCACCGCUGAUAGCUGUUGUGUGGAUAUUGUAUUUAUUCAUAACUCAUACCCUGUGUUCCCAGAAACAGUUUUAAUUAGAACACAGAUUAUUACUCCCAGUAGCCUUCCGUAAGUAGCCAAGCAUGAUAAUGAAGAAAAAAAUGUUUCUGAAUAUGACGCCUUAAUAUAUUUACAUAUAAAUUACCAAAAUCUUAUCUUUGUUCACAGCAGAUACUAAUUGAACGUCUAACAGGACUGUGGUUUCUGUUGAGCACUGGUGGGUGGGAAGGGGUUUGAGGGGUUGGGGUACAGGCAAGACGCAGCCGAUGCUCCUCACUAGAGCUGCUUGUAGAGAGUGUAACGCUCCACAGUUGCUUUCCUUGAGGACGGCGCAGGGCACUCUGGGAAGAGACACCUUACAUAGAGGCGGGGUUAAGACUCGGCCAGAUGGAGGUGCUGCCUCCAGUCAUCCAGGGCUGGAGAGAUGGAGAGAGAAAGGAUGGCAUUUUCAAGUGGAAACAAGUCAUGGAAGAUUAAGGACUGGCGAGCACCUAGAGACAGACUCUCACUUUCAGAACAGAUGAGUGGGCAGUGAUGGAGUAAUGGGAAUUUUUGACUCUUCAGGAAAGUGCAGGAGAUGAUGAGGCUUAGGUGGGCCUGCUCUGCCCUUCAGGUACAGAUUACUUUGUUCCAGUGCUACCAGACUACAGCUGCCCCCUCUGCUGUGGCCCAGAGAGCUGAUACAUUCACUGUGUAGAUAAAGACACAGUUUUCUGGAUUAGAAUCACAAUCGCUAGAGUGACAGCCUUGAAAUGUGCAACUACCAGUUGGAACAGCAGGAGUUGCACAGGUUCAGGGAUGUUUCUGAGUCUCUUUGCUGCUCCCUUUAGCCUGUUUGGAAGUUAACAUUGUUACACAUUGACAAUCACAACAUCUAUGCCAGGUACAUGUUUGGGAAUAUGCCCUGAAUAAGGUUACUUUAUACGUGCUGAUAUGGAAUGAUGGCAAAGAUAAGAUGUUAAUGAAUAAGUGCUGUGCAUGGCGUUAGAGUAGUAUAUACUUUUCUUCUUCUUUUCAUUUUUUGAGACAAAGUUUCACUCCUGUUGCCCAGCCUAGAGUGUAAUGUCACGAUCUUGAUCUCCGAUCACUGCAACCUCCCCCUCCCAGGUUCAAGCAACUCUCCUGCCUCAGCCUCCCAAGUAGCUGAGAUUACAGGUGUGCACCGCCACGUCUAGCUAAUUUUUUAUUUAUUUAUUUAUUUUGAGACAGAGUCUCGCUCUUUUGCCAGGCUGGAGUGCAGUGGUGUAAUCUUGGCUCACCACAACCUCCGCCUCCUGGGUUCAAGCAAUUCUCCUGCCUCAGCCUCCCGAGUAGCUGGGACUACAAGCACGUGCCACCAUGUCCAGCUAAUUUUUUUUUUUUUGUAUUUUUAGUAGAGAUGAGGUUUCAUCGUGUUGACCAGUUUGGUCUCGAUUUCUUGACCUCGUGAUCUGCCCGCCUCGGCCUCCCAAAGUGCUGGGAUUACAGGCGUGAGCCACUGUUUCCAGCCUUUUUUUUUUUUUUUUUGUACUUUUAGUAGAGACACGGUUUCACCAUGUUGGUCAGGCUGGUCUCGAACUUCUGACCUCAAAUGACAUACCUGCCUCCGCCUCCUAAAGUGUUGGGAUUACAGGCAUGAGCCACCACGCCCAGCUAUAUAUACUUUUAUUUAUGGUUUAAAACAGUAAUAUAGAAACAGAUCUCCUUAUUUGUACAGGAAGUGUCUGGGGGAAUAUAUAGAAAACUGCUAAGGCCUGAUUCUCAGAGGGAAGAUUGGGUGUUUGGAGUGGGAAGCAAACAUUUUUUACUAUAUACACUUGUACUAUUUGAAUUUUUUACCACAUUAAAAAAUUAAACAGGCUCUAUUUAUACUUCUUUCCAUGACUUUAAGGCUUAAUUGUAAAAAUUGCUUCCCAUAAAAACCUUUUGGUUCAUAAAAAGAUCCAUAAAAACCUUUGGUUUCCUCCAGCAAACUGGAUCUUUUACUACCCACGUCGAAUAGUAAUUAUUUUCCUAGCACCAGUAAUUCUCACAGCAGUGAGAGUCAGUUAUCAAUAUGACAAAAAACUUCAUUUUGCUGGCACAAUCGGAGCCUAAAAUCUUCCUUGGUAGAGAGAUGUGAUUGAGGAGGGAGUUGCAGGGUUGUGUAAUAUCAUACUUGAAAUAGACAGAGACCUGAAGUGGUCCAGUCUCAGAACACAUUCAUUUUUAAUAUAAGCCUAAGUACUAAGCCCUUAAUGACUUAGGUCUUUAAUUAUCUCACUGAACAAUUUAUGUUGAUUCAGGCAGGACCAGCCAUUCUCUUUGAUUUAUUGAUUCUAUGCUCAGAAAAAAAAAUUACACAGUAUGUUUUGACAAAGUGCCUUUUAACAUGAUGCCUCCUGCGUUGCGCCCCGAAACUGUGUGCCAGGAAUUUUUACAUCUGUUCUCUCCCUACUGGGUUUUACAUUUGUAAUAGAUGAAAAGAUGCAGUUUGAUUCCCAUUAUGACUUUAAUAUAUGAUUGUGGAAUCUCUGUGAGUUGAUGAGCUCUUAAUUUUGUUGUAAUGUGAAGUGGCUGAUGGAUGGUCUUGACUGGCGUCUAAAUUCUAACUAAAUUACAUUCUCACGUGAUCAAAUCUUUAAACCAAACGCACAUGAUCAAAUCAUUAAACCAAAGGCAUAUGUACAGCUCAGAAGCAUCCAAGGCAAAGGGUGGAAGGCAUUACACUAGGACAGGAAGCACCAUUUGCCACAGUGCAAACCAGAGAACCACCCGCUGAAAGCAAAGCCACUCUCUCAAUUCCAGAGACAAAUAAAAAAGAGGGGAUGUUGAAGUUCACAGCUGCUACCGGCUGCAGUGUCAGGAAUUCUUCUUCCCAUUGAUGAGCUUUAUGGCUAAAAUAGAUUGUGCUUUCUUGCCAAUAUACCUCCUGUUCUUUACUCCUGAGACGUUCUCAGGGUCUCAGGAACAUGUUGGCUCAUCAGCCCAAGAACAGCAUGUUUUGUUUUGAGUGAUCAAUAGACUUUGAGUAUAACCGUAAAUACAGUUGAUGAAUGACCUAUAUCUGUAGGUCUCUGAUCUGGGUGUUAAACUUAGUUGAAAACAAAUAAUCCCUGCCUGCUGAAAACGGGCGUGACACAACAGCAGGGAAUUCAGGUGAAUGAAAUACCAUUUCAUGCAGGCCCUGCUUACAAAGUAUUUUACAUUCGAAUUUGUUUAGUAAAAGGUAGUGUCGCUGUGACAUGUGUCAUUACAUUUUCUAGUCUACCCUUUGAGGACGUAUUUAGUUCCUUCUUGGCCUAAAGUCUCUCCUGGGUACUGGGUGAAUACGUGGCUUAUGGUUACAUGUAUGUGGAUCAGUUGGCAGAGGUCUGGUUAGUAUGAAUGACCGAAUCUUAGUGUAAUACCACCUGGCAACAUAGUUCGCUUUCAUCCCCAAAAAACUAAAUUAUUUAUUGAAAUACAAAUAAAUACAAAGUAAUCUUAUUACUAACUUCUAUUUAGCCUCUGGGUGGGGGGUGAAGGUACCUACAGAAGAGAAAGAUUUAAAGAAUUACGAACAGCUCCAUACAAUUUGGGGAGUUUUCUCCCCAAUUGACCAGAUUUUUCUUGCCGUGUUUGGGGAGGAAACUCCUUCUGAACCCUAGGAUCCACAAAGGAGGUGGUGAAGUUGUGCAGAUCCUUCAAGGACCUAGCAUUCCUUUCAUUUCUUACUUUACCCUCAGAUGCCUCUGAAAUUUGUUACAUUCUUUCAGAUUUUUUUUUUUUCCUGAGACAGAGUUUCACUCUUGUUGCCCAGGCUGGAGUGCACUGGCACUUCAGCUCACUGCAAUCUCUUUCAGCUUCAAGCAAUUCUCCUACCUCAGUCUCCCGAGUAGCUGGGAUUACAGGUGCCACCAUGUCUGGCUAAUUUUUGUAUUUUAGUAGAGACAGGGUUUCACCGUGUUGGUCAGGCUGGUCUCAAACUCCUGAAUUCAGGUGAUCUGCCUGUCUCAGCCUCCCAAAGUGCUGGGAUUACAGGCAUGAGCCACAACCCCCAGCCCAUUCUUUCAGAUUUUUGAGAAGACGAUUCAGGAUUCUGAGAGAGAAAACAUGAAGUUCCCUUUUUUUCAGUCCGUAGGAUGCUUAGAAGCGGGAAGAUGGCGUUCUAUCCUUUGUGUUCCUGCUUCGUACAACUUGGGCUUAACUGAAAGGAGGGUGAUGAUGCUCAUGCUUUGGGGUGACUAUCUGUGUUCUUAGGAGGUUUCCCUAAGCAACCAGCUUUAGUCAGUUACUCCAUUCUCUCCUCCUGCCCACCCCUGCUCUUUCAAACAGAGCUGAAUCGAUGUUAAUUGGUUAAGUAUACUCAUUAACUAAACAAAGUAUACCCUUUAGUAACCUGUUUCUCUUUUUAGUGUUUGGCCACCUGCUUCAUAAAGAAGUAUUUUUCUCUCUCUCACCCCCAUCCCACAUUUAAAAUGAUUUGAAUGCCAGGUGCGGUGGCUCUCACCUAUAAUCCUGUCACUUUGGGAGAUGGAGGUGGGUGGAUCACGAGGUUCAGGAGUUUGAGACCAACCUGGUCAAUAUAGUGAAACCCCAUCUCUACUAAAAAUACAAAAAAAAUUAGCCGGGCAUGGUGGCACAUGCCUGUAAUCCCAGCUAUUUGGGAGGCUGAGGCAGGAGAAUCGCUUGAACCUGGGAGGUGGAGGUUCUAGUGAGCCAAGGUCGUGCCACUGCACUCCAGCUUUGGCAACAAAGUGAGACUUCAUCUCAAAAAAAAGUGCAUUUGGACAGAAAACUCAGGUAAAAGUACCUAUAAAGCGGUUUGCUCACAAGAGUAGAUAUUAAGAAUUGGCUUGAACUGAGCCUGCUGUUUAUCAUUUUAAAUGUCUUUAUAUUCAGCUUAUUAUUAAGUGGGAAGAAAUGAGGUCUGCGCUGGGUGAGUUCAUUUUCAUGGUUCAUUUUGGUUUGGGCUCAUCCUUUGAUGGAAAGGUUUAUACAGAGUGAACAAGACAUUACCAUACAGAGAGCUGUAACGCACAGAGAUUAUGGGUGCUGGCAAAUAUGCACAUUGUUUUGUGACUUGGUGUUGGCAGUAACACUGUCCUGUACCUGAAUCCUGGCCCCGUGCCCCGUGCAUGGUCGUUUCUCUUCCACCUCCAUGUGGACCUGAUUGCUUCGCUCAGGCUUUGUGCGGAGCACCUGUCUCACAUGACUGCAGAUUUGAUGACCGGAAGAGCUGCCAAAAAUAGAAGGAGCCACAUUUCUGGAGUCCUUCCUGUGCCAGCCAUUGCUACAUGCACUGUGUAUUGAGUCAUUUCAUAUUUCAGUGUCUAUUCUUGAAGUCGUUAAUAAAAGACCAUGAGAUUUGUAGAGGAAAAGAGUUAUUUUCUGUAAGAAACUAUCUAUAGAUUGGAGAGACAGCCUCCAGUGUAAAACAGAAGCACAUCCUUUAGAAGGGAGGGCAAAGCUGGUAUUUGUGCCUUAAGAGACCUGACUUUAGCUGGGCGUGGUGGUGCAUGCCUGUAAUCCCAGCUAUGUGGGAGGCUGAGGCAGGAAAAUUGCUUGAACCCGGGAGGUGGAGGUUGCAUUGAGCCAAGAUCACGCUAUUGCACUCCAGCCUGGGCAACAAGAGCAAAACUCUGUCUCCAAAAAAAAAAGACCUGUCUGACAUACAUAUUUAGUAGAUUUGGGGGAAAUCUAUGAAUAUUUAUGAGGGUGGUCAAGUGCAUGCGUAGUAGAUAAAUGUAUAUAUAACAUGCAUCUCAUGUUCACUCUGAGGAUGGGUCUUAAAGGAGGUAGAAUUUGGCUCUCUAUGUCAGAAGAUGAACUGCAGACACACAGUCUAAGCUGGCUGAAACUGGCCGAAGGUCUGCGACCGUUUAUUAGGAAAGAAUGUCUGUAAAGCUGUGAGGCCAGUCCUCUGUUGAGAGUUGUUGCAGGACUGCAGCUGGAGGGUGUGGGUUGUGGGGAUUUGCGGGGGCUGGUGUCGGGCAAUCUGUCGGGGUCAGUGGGAACUUUUUAACUCUACUUGUUUUCACAGUGAUUUUUAGUAGCUGGUUUCUAUUUAAUUACAGGAAGGAAAACCUGUGGCACUUAGUUAACACAGGGAUACGUGACCAACCCCUCACCCUGUUACUGCCAUUAGGUUUCGUUUUUCACAUGUCUCAUUUUAGCCACAGGGAGUCCUUUUUGUCUGUUGGCUGGGGGCACAGUUGCACAAAGUCAAGUCAGAGAUGACAAGUCAACAGCAUAGUUUCAUAAUGCAAACAGUCACACCUGCGUGGCUAAACCAUGAAUCCCCUGAAACAUCAAAGAGGGUAUCUGGAAACCUGCCCUUUCUUUCUCUCAGAUUAUUGAAGACUAACUGUAAAGGGAUACUUGAAACAGAAGAAGGGCCGGGUAGGCGGGCUUUCUGGAAACUGGACUGCUGCACGCGAUAGUAGGAGAUAGGAAGGCAGCCUCCAUGGAGCUGGCACUUGUUUAUGGAGAGGGAAACUCUGUGGACAAGAGAGGUUGGAUAUCUGCCACGGGGCUGAAGUUUUCUAUAUUUUAAUAUAUAAUAUAUGUGGUGCAUCCCCUCUGUGAAUAAAGUAAAGGGGAGGAGAGGGAGAAAGCCUUGAUAACCAACAUUUACAUGUAAAUUUACGUGUAACUUGCGUUACAUUUAUGUGCAUGUUAUUACACAUAAAUUACACCCCGUGGUAUAAAUGUUGAGGUGGCCAGCAACAAUGAAGGCAGGUGUUACUGAUUCUUCUGCCACUGCGGGACCACCUCUGCCCUUCCUGUCUAGCCUAUGUUGGGUUUUAUGCCUGACAUAGUUAAAGAAAGACUGUGCAGACCUGGCAGCUUCUGUUUUGCUCAUGAUUUUUUGUUCAAGGUAAAAUGAUUUAGGCUAACUUGUUCAAUUGUUUUUCUCUAUCACACAGGGCUCUGUUAAGAGCACCUGUUUGAUUUCACACAGCAGGCGUUGUGUGGCCUCUCCAUCGUUUAUUUCAGCUGCAAAAUUAGGCUAUUGAAUAAUCUGGUAAUAGAAUGUCACCUGCUUCUUCUGGUGUGCUGUUGAUGCAAGACAAAUAAGAAGACAAAGGAAAGAGUUCAGAAAUAGAUGCUCCCCCUCAAUUACGCAAGAAUACACACAUAUACACAAUUUGGUAUCUGUUAAGGAAAAUAUUUCAGGCCAGUAGGAAAGGUAGAUUGUUUAAUAAAUAGUGCAAAUCAUUUUUUUAAAAUUGUAUUUACUUAGAAGCAUUCAGAAUGUCAAAACAGCUGCAACUUUCUUUUUUGGCAAUUACAGUGUGCUAUGCAGUUAACAGAACAACAAUUAUUUCGUAUAAGCUGCAUCAGAGUCAACUGAAGAUGAAAAAACUACCAUCCUCAUAGAUAACUAAUUUGUGCUGUGCACCACCAAGAGCCUGCUUUAAAUUUCCAUGCCAAUUUUCAACCCCCAUACUGUACCAGGCAAGGUUAGUGGCUACUGAGAAUACCACCAGGGCUACCUAAAGGCACAUUCAAUAGUGUGUUAACUGUACAAAAAAAGACACUGUGCAGUUUAAAAUCAAAUCUCACACAGCCUUACAUUUCCAUUUGUUUCUUUAAAAGGAGUGAGUUGUAUCCAGGGGGUUAAAUGCUUUAUAGACAAGAAAAAAACUGCACUAGAACCAACUUAUUCAUCAUCAGCAUCUUCCUCUUCCUCCUCAUCCUCUUCUUUUUCUUGCUUUUUCAGCCUUGACAACUCCCUGCUUUGCUGCAGCAGGCUUUCCUUUAGCCCGAUAUGCAGCACUGUCCUUUUCGUGUUUUUCCUUCAGCUUCGCAGGCCUCUUCAUAAGGCUGCUUGUCACCUGCAGCAGUGUUGCUCCAUGUCGCUCCCAGUUUCUUUGCAGCAUCACCAAUGGACAGGCCAGGGUGUUCUUUGAUUUUUGGGUGCGAUACUCAGAGCAGAACAGGAAACAGGCCGAAGGUGGCCUCUUGGGUGCAUUGGGAUCCUUGAACAACUUUUUUGUCUCCCCUUUAGGAGGAAUAUAGGUUUUCACUUCUCUCACAAUGAUCCUUGUCCGCCUCUGCCAUAUCUUCAAAUUUUCCCUUCUCUUUAGCAGACACGGUCUCCCCCCUCUCUGAGCACUUCUUAGAAAACUCUGAGAAGCUGACUGAAGCAUCUGGGUGCUGCUGCCUAUGCUCCUCCUGACAAGUUUGCACAAAAAAAUGCAUAUGAUGACAUUUUGCCUCUCCACUUCUUAAGAUCUCCUUUGGGCCGGGCGCGGUGGCUCAUGCCUAUAAUCCCAGCACUUUGGGAGGCCGAGGCAGGUGGAUUACGAGGUCAGGAGAUCAAGACCAUCCUGGCCAACAAGGUGAAACCCCGUCUCUACUAAAAAUACAAAAAUGAGCUGGGCAUGGUGGCACGUGCCUGUAGUCCCAGAUACUCAGGAGGCUGAGGCAGGAGAAUUGCCUGAACCCAGGAGGCGGAGGUUGCGGUGAGCCAAGAUCGUGCCAUUGCACUCCAGCCUGGGUAACAAGAGCGAAACUCCGUCUCAAAAAAAAAAAAAAAAAAAAAAAGAUCUCCUUUGCCCAUGUUUAGUUAUUUUCCCUCAGCGAGGCCCACAGUCGCCCAGUGCCCGUCCGGCUCUCACUUGCCCCGGCGCUGUCUCUGUGGAGCUCAGUGUACCGAUCUCACUUGCCCCGGCGCUGUCUCUGUGGAGCUCAGUGUACCGAAGUGGCCCUAGUGCAGGUAAUUGAAGGAAGACAGAUGUUUACCUUGCUUUCUCAUACAAAAUAAAUUCAAGAUGUACCUAAGAUUUAACUAUAAAAUGAUAAAGCAUGAAAUGUCAUAACAUUGUUUAUUAUAUGGAGUUGCAACAAACCUUUCUAAGCAUGACAUAAACUCAGAAGCCAUAAACAAUAAUAUUGAUAACCUUAAUUUCAUAGAAAGAAAAGAAAAAAUUUCUCCGUAGCUAAAAGCAGUUUUAAAAUAAAGGGAAACAAGAAAUACGUUGGAAAAACAUUUAACUGACAAAGUGUUACUUUUUUUUUUUUUUAGAUGGAGUUUCACUCUUGUUACCCAGGCUGGAGUGCAAUGGCGCGAUCUCGGCUCACUGCAACCUCCGCCUCCUGGGUUCAGGCAAUUCUCCUGCCUCAGCCUCUUGAGUAGCUGGGAUUAUAGGCACGUGCCACCGUGCCCAGCUAAUUUUUUGUCUUUUUAGUAGAGACGGGGUUUCAUCAUGUUGACCAGGAUGGUCUCGAUCUCUUGACCUCAUGAUCCACCUGCCUCAGCCUCCCAAAGUGCUGGGAUUACAGGCUUGAGCCACUGCGCCCGGCCCAAAGUGUUACUUUUUAAUUAAAGCGCUCUUUACAAAUCCGGAAGGAAAGUGUAAGCUACUAAGCAGGAGAGUCAAAGGACAUAAGCAAUUCCCAGGGAAGAAAUUCACUCAUCUGUGACCACACAGAGAUUGAGCAUCUUCUACUAUUGUAAAUAAAGGAAUUAGCAGUGAAUACGACAGGCUGAGGUCCUGCUUGAAGGAGCUGUGAUGGCAAUUUUUUUUUUUUUUUUUUUUUGAGACAGUCUCACACUGUUGCCAGGCUGGAGUGCAGUGGCUCGAUCUCAGCUCACUGCAACCUCCACCUCCCAGAUUCAAGCAAUUCUCCUGCCUCAGUCUCCUGAGUGCCACCAUGCCUGGCUAAUUUUUGCAUUUUUAGUAGAGGCGGGGUUUCACCAUAUUGGCCAGUCUGAUCUCGAACUCCUGACCUCGUGAUCCGCCCGCCUUGGCCUCCCAAGGUACUGGGAUUACAGCCAUGAACUACUGUGCCCGGCCUGUGAUGACAAAUUUUAUGUGAAAACAUGGCUGAGGUAUGGUACCCACUUGUUGGGUCAAACACUAGGCUGGAUAUUGCCGGGGUUAACAUUUCAAUCAGUGGACUUCGAGUAAAGCAGAUCACCCUCUAUAAUGUGGGUAGGCCUAAUCCCAUCAGUUGAAGGCCUUAAGAGCAAAGACUGGCCAGGUGUGGUGGCCCACACCUAUAAUCUUAGCACUUUGGGAGGCCGAAGUGGGCAGGUCACUUGAGGUCAGGAGUUCAAGACCAGCCUGGCCAACAUGGAGAAACCCUGUCUCUACUAAAAAUAGAAAAAAUUAGCAGGGCAUGGUGGCAUGCACCUGUAGUCUAAGCUACUUCGGAGGCUGAGGCAAGAGAAUUGCUUGAAUGCAGUAGGCAGAGGUUGCAGUGAGAUGAGAUUGCACCACUGUACUCCAGCCUGGGCAAGAGAGCAAGACUCCAUCUCCAAACAAACAAACAAAGACUGAGGUUUUCCCAAGGAAGAUGGAAUUUGGCCUCCAGCCUGGGCAACAUCGCGAAACCCCAUCUCUACAAAAAAAUACCAGAAAGACCUAGGUGGACCUGGUGAUGCAUACCUCAGGAGGCUGAGGAGGGAGGAUCACCUGAGCACAGGUGUCGAGGCUGCAGUAAACUAUAAUCACACCACUGCACUCCAGGCAGUGACCAGAGGGUGAGACCCUGUCCCCUCUAAAAAAGAAACUGCCUGAGUUUCCAGCCUACCUGGCCUGCUCCGUUGGUUUCAUAUACAAAACUAUGACAUUUCCAGCCUGUUGGCUUAUCCUUAAGUUGUAAGGACUUAACAGCCCUUACAACUGUGUGAGCCAGUUCCUUAAAAGAAAUCUCUCGAUUCAUUGGAUCAGUUCCUUAAAUCUCUCCAUUGAUCCAUCGAUCGAUAGGGGAUAGAUCGAUUCUGUUGGUUCUGUUUUCUGGAGUCCGGAAAACCCUAAUAUAGGAGCUUAUAUUGUAGUACAGAUGAUAAAGCAGGACAUGAUACAUUAACAGGAAAAUAUCACAUUAAAGCACAUGGGAUGGUAGGACAGACGGAGAAUGACUUGGAGUUUCUUGUAGGAUUGUUGAUCAGAAUGAAGGCUUCUCUGAGAGGUGACCUUCACGUAGGGAGGGAACUAAGUCCCCACCCCUCCAAUGUGGGCUUCACACUGUGACUUCCCAAAGAGCCACUGUCUCACCUUUGCAGCCUCUGUCCUCGACGCCUGCCCUUCACAGUCCAGGUCCUUGAGCAUCAGCACUGGCCACCCCCAGCUUGGCUUCCUCCCUUCUCCUCCCUGGCCCUGUGGCCACCCAUUAGAACAAGCGCAUGGUGAUGAAAUAAGGCCUGACAUGGUUACAUAUUUUAAGUAAAAGUUACUAUUUCACAUCAGGGAAAAGGGUGUGGUGCUGUAGUCACCGUGGGAUGCAGUGCCAUGAAAAAGUGCUCACAGACCCCCUGAGGGGUCCUUUGGGCUGUCUCCUUUUUGUUACUAAUGACCAUGUUUUGUUACCCUUGAUUGAGGUGUGGAAGUCCCACCCAGCUUUUAUAUUUAGUGGUUCUAUGAUGCAAUCCAUGCAGAAUGUAAUCAGUUAAAAAAAAAGAAAUAUUGGCUGGGCAUGGUAGCUUACACCUGUAAUCCCAGCACUUUGAGAGGGGCCGAGGCAGGUAGCUCGCAAAGUCAGGAGUUCGAGACCAGCCUGACCAACAUAGUGAAAUCCUGUCUCUACUAAAAAUGUAAAACAUUAGCCUGGCAUCGUGGCGGGUGCCUGCAAUUAAUUCCAGCUACUCGGAAGGCUGAGGCAAGAGAAUCUCUUGAACCUGGGAGGCAGAGGUUGCAGUGAGCUGAGAUCACACCACUGCACUCCAGCUUGGGCAACAAGAGUGAAACUCCAUCUCAAAAAAACAAAAAAGGAAUAUUAUUUUACCUCUUUGGAAAUCUUGCUAGACUUUUGGCUCAUAAGUAGACAUAUGAGCCUGAGCAUUUACCAGAUUUUUCAAUAAUUGUCCUGGGGUGAAAAAAAAACUUAAAAAUCACUAUUUUAAAAUUAUCCCAAUUGGCUGGGCAUGGUGCCUCACGCAUGUAAUCCCAGCACUUUGGGAGGCCAAGGUGGGAGGAUCACUUGAGGUCAGGAGUUUGAGAUUAGCCUGGCCAACAUGGUGAAACCCCGUCUCUACUAAAACUAUAAAAAUUAGCCGGGCAUGGUGGCAGGCACUUGUAAUUCCAGCUACCUGGGAGGCUGAGGCAGGAGAACCGCUUGAACCCGGGAGGUGGAGGUUGCAAUGAGCCGAGAUGGUGCCACUGCACUCCAGCCUGGGUGACAGAACAAAACUGCAUCUCAAAAAACAAAAAAGAAAAAGAAAAUGACCAGGUGCAGUGGCUCCUGCCUGUAAUCCCAGCACUUUGAGAGGCAAGGCGGGUAGAUCACAAGGUCGGAAGUUAGAGACCAGCCUGGCCAACAUGGUGAAACCCCAUCUCUAUUAAAAAUACAGAAAUUAGCCGGGUAUGGUGGUGCAUGCCUGUAGUCCCAGCUACUCAGGAGGCUGAGGCAGAAGAAUCGUUUGAACCCAGGAGGCGGAGGUUGCAGCGAGCUGAGAUCAUGCCACUGCACUCCAGCCUCGGUGACAGAUCGAGACUUCGUCUCAAAACAAAAAAAAUUAUCCCAAGACUCGGAAUGCUUUCACAAAUAGCCAUCUCUGUCAGUUGUAUCUUCGUAUUCAUGUUCAACAGGAAUUGUGUUAAUAGAUGAAAAUAUCAUUCUCUCAUAGCUGCCAUUACUGUCAGAACUCGGCUUGUACUUCUUGAUGUUCUUCUUCAUUGUAUUUGGAAGCCUCAGAAUUUUCUACUCAAUAGAACAAGUAGUUCUAGUAAUAAAUUUCAAAUUCUUGCUUUCAUAGGAAUUUGGGACCUUCGAAGAAAAUAGCUUAUGAAGAUGUGUCAAUUUUCUAUAAAUACACACAGUUCAUGCUUAGAAACUUCUCCGUCUUGGGGCAGUCUUCUUUAAUAUUCUAGGGUGUUUAUCUGCCUGGACCCUUUCUUUUCUUUUUUGAGAUGGAGUUUCACUCUUGUUACCCAGGCUGGAAUGCAAUGGCGCGAUGUCAGCUCACUGCAACCUCCACCUCCUGGGUUCAGGCAAUUCUCCUGCCUCAGCCUCCUGAGUAGCUGGGAUUACAGGCACGCGCCACCAUGCCCAGCUAAUUUUUUGUAUUUUUAGUAGAGACGGGGUUUCACCAUGUUGACCAGGAUGGUCUCGAUCACUUGACCUCGUGAUCCACCCACCUCGGCCUCCCAAAGUGCUGGGAUUACAGGCGUGAGCCACCAUGCCCGGCCCCUGCCUGGACCCUUUCAAAGUGAGUCAGGGAGUUCCCAGCUAAGCAGUGUUUGCUGUCACACUUGUAUGACUUCUCACUGAACUGAGAAGAAAAAAUGACACUAAAUUCAGUAAGAAUUGGAUUUAAAAAAUAGCCCGCCUUCAGGGCAGUCAGUGGAAGGUAUGGGUGAAAGCAGGGCGUAUUUGUAACAAACAGAUUCACCCAGAAUUUAGAGGAAAAUAUGGAGUCAAAUUUGAAUUACAUAGUCCUAAAAUCUCUCACAAUGAUUCAGCCUUUCUUGUGUCCAAGAACCAGAGCUGGAAACAGACUAGAAUUUGUCUCCAGAUUCUCGAGAGACCAGAAAAUGUUUCUCUACUUUUAACUCCUGGCUUGUUACUUAAUUGCUAAAUGUAAAGCAAUGGAGGUUGAGUAUAGGAGACUAGGUUCAACUUCAGCAGCAGCUUUGCUAAGUAUUUUGAGAAUGCAAAUUUUUUUUUCUUUUUUUUGCAAUGGAGUCUCACUUCGUCACCCAGGCUGGAGUGCAGUGGUGCGAUCUUGGCUCACUACAACCUCCGCCUCCCCCUUUCAAACGAUUGUCCUGCCUCAGCAUCUGGAGUAGCUGGGAUUACAGGCACCCACCAUUACUCCUGGCUAAUUUAUGUGUUUUUAGUAGAGACAGGGUUUCACCAUGUUGGCCAGGUUGGUCUUGAACUCCUGACCUCAGGUGAUCUGCCCACCUUGGCCUCCUAAAUUGCUGGGAUUACAGGUAUGAGCCACUGCACCCAGCCAAAUGCAAAGAUGUUUUUUUAAAAUCAAGGACAAGUGGAAGACCCUUGACACAGGCACUCUUCCUGCAUUUCCACCUAGGUUCCCGAACCUCUGCCUCUAGUCUGGAUUUUAGCCAGGCAUUGCUGAGGGUCUGGAGUAGAGGCUGUGUCCAUUUCACAGCCAAGGGGUGCGAAGGGUCAGUAGGCUUUGCGGGCAGUGGAGGGCGGCCUUCCGCAGGAAACAACUCUUGUCGUUUUCAGCAGUUGCCUACGAAAUCCUACAAAGUCCAUUCCGUUGACUUGGCAAGAAUUGCUGGUUUGACAGGAAAGUUGUGUGGCCUUGGAAUGGCUGCCAUUUACUGAAACAGUGAUACUGGUUGGGCCAAGUUUUCUAAAAGUAGUGACCUUAUAAAUACAACUCUGUUGUCAGGCUUAAUACAGUUUUUAAGUGUGUCUAAACUACAGAAACAUAAUACUUGUGCAGGAGUUUAACAUGGUAUUAUUUGAUGCAUAAACUCAUGUUAUUUGAUGCGUAAUAGUUGUUCAUGAAAUUGAAAAAUAGCCUCAUCCUCUGUACCUUUAAGAGAUUGAAAGUUACCACGUAUGCUGGAUAAGUGAAUUGCUUCCAGGGAAAAUACAGGGUUAGGUCCCUUUGAGCCUCUGAUGCCACAUUUUUUAUAACCUUGUUUUAUAUAUGUCAGUACAUAACCUGUUUUAUGUGUGUGUCUGUUUAAAGACACCUCAUUUAGGAUAUGAGAAGAAAGUUCAUGGGAAAAUGGAAUUCAAAGGUAAAAUAUAACUAUAAAUUUUAUUUCUCAACAUCAGUCCCAUCAAGUUCAAGAGACUUGUAGGUGCUGAUAGCAACACUUAGCUGAUCCCUAAAGAACUUAGGGACUGGGAAUGUAACGACAUCAGUGCCGUCUUUCUUCACAUUAGUAGCUGAAGAAAAAUGAUGCCCUUUAAAGCCUUUUUUAAGAUUAGGAAGUAAAAAAAAAAAAAUCAGAAGGAGCCAAAUCAGAGCUGUAAGGUGGAUGCCUAAUGGUUUCCUACUGAAAUUCUCCCCAGGUUGCCCUUGCCCUUGUCUGAAGAGAGGAAUGAGCAUCAGCCUCCUUUUGCUGACGAAGGGUGCUCUGGUGAGGCCGUCUCAGGCAUUUUUCUGCUAAAGCUUUGGUUAACUUUCUCAAAAACACUUUGAUAAUAAGCAGAUGGUAUUGUUUGGCCUUCCAGAAAGUCAGCAAGCAAAAUGCCUUGAGUGUCCCAACACCUUGUGACCAUGACUUUGGCUAUUGACCCGUCUGCUUUUGCUGUGCCUGGACCCCUUCCACCUCUGGGUAGCCGUUGCUCUGACUGUCCUCUUUCUUCAGCAUUGUACUGGGAAAGCCACGUAUUGUUUCCUUUUACAAUUCUUCAAAGAACUGCUUUGGGACCUUCAUCCCACUUGUUGAAAAUUUCCACUGAAAUUUCUACUCUUUUCUGAAGCGGGGCUGAGCUCCGAGGUUUUGGCACCCACCGAGUGGAAAGUUUGUGCGGCUUCAAUUUUUCAGUCGGAACUGUGUAAGCUGAACUGAGACAUCUGUGGUGCUGGUUAUCGUUUCUGCUGUUCAUCGUCAGUCCUCUAGAGUUAGGGCACAAACAAGAUAAUUUUUUUUCCUUGAAAAUGGAGGUGGAUGGUCUGCCGCUGUGGACUUCAUCUUCAGCAUCAUCUCUUUUCUUCUUAAAACAAGUCAUUCAUUUGGAAACUGCUGUUUCUUUGGAGCUUGUCCACAUAAACUUUUCAGAAGGCAUCAGUGAGUUCGCCAUUCUUCCACCCAAGCGUCACCAUAAAUUUGCAGUUUGUUCUUGCUUCAGUUUUUUUUUUUAGACAGAGUCUUGCUCUAUUGCCCAGGCUGGAGUGCAAUGGCAUGAUCUCAGCUCACUGCAGUCUCCGCCCCCUGGGUUCAAGCAAUUCUCCUGCCUCAGCCUCCUAGUAGCUGGGAUUACACACAUGAACUACCAUGCCAAUUUUUGUAUUUUUAGUAGAGAUGGGGUUUCACCAUGUUGGUCAGGCUGAUCUUGAACUCCUGACCUCAUGAUCCACCCGCCUCGGCCUCCCAACCCACCAGCCUCGGCCUCCCAAGCUUCAGUUUUCGCAGAAUUCACAUUGCUCCGAUAGGAGUUCUUCUCAAACUGACGUCUUUUCCGUCUUACUGCCUCAAGCUAGAUCCUGUCUAAACAUGCUGUAACAAGUUAGUCCGCAUUUAUUUUGGUGAAAAAAAAUUGAAAUUCAUGCAUAGUUUUUCCAUAAUACUCACUCUCCACGUACUUUUUGAAGUCCCUUCAUAUGUUUUUGAUUCAUUUAGCAUUGAAUUCACAGCCAGCAGCACUAUGUAAUUCACAUCUGAACAAAGCUUACGUAACGCACACAUUUUCUCCGUAAGGCAGUGUGUAUUAGUCCAUUCUCAUGCUGCUUAUGAAGACCUACCAGAGAUUGGGUGAUUUAUAAAGGAAAGAGGUUUAAUUGACUCCCAAUUCCACAGAGCUGGGGAGGCCUCAGGAAGCUUACAAUCAUGGUGAAGGGGGAAGCAAACAUGUUCUUCUUCACAUGGUAGCAGGAAGGAGAAGUGCUGAGCCAAAGAGGGAGAAGCUCCUUAUAAAAACCAUCAGAUCUUGUGAGAACUCAAUAUCAACAGAACAGCAGCAUGAGGGUGACCACCCUCGUGAUUCAAUUACCUCCCACUGGGUCCCUCCCACGACAUUUAGGAAUUAAAGGGAACUAAAUUCAAGAUGAGAUUUGGGUGGGGACACAACCAACCAUAUCCCACAGCCUUUCUAAGCUUGGGAGCACUGGAUAGCUCUAUAGCAGUGUGCCUGGGCCCUGUUUCAAACACAAUCUCAAACAGAAAGCACACAAAUGUGAAAGGCAUGGUGCUAAAUAGCCCAGAGAACGGACACUUGUUGACAGUAGGAAAGCUGAAGCGGGAAGGCAGGGUGUCAUCUUGUUUGACCUCAUGUUCACUAACUCGAAUCUUCUCCCCUCUGCUCCCAUAUCCAAGAACGACCACAGAAUUGCCGCAAAUAUUGAUUUCUAAGUUUCAAAGAAAUUUCAGCCAGCAAGUAAAUUUGUAAAUAUGGAAUCUGUGAAUAAUGAGGACUGACCGUACUUGCAUUCUCAUUUUCUUUCCUAAAUAUCUUCCUCCACAUAUGAAUAAAGCAUAACAUUUUCUCCUUUCCAGUUUGAAGGUCAGGGUCUAAAGGAGUGAAAUGGUGAGAAGGGGCUGGAUGCACGCUGUUAUUACGUGUGAUUGAAAGUUUACUGUUCUUUAAAGGUGCAUAUUUCCACUUUGAAGUUGCUCAUAGAUUAUUUUGUGUUUUGAGACGGAGUUUCACUCUUGUCACCAAGCUGGAGUGCAAUGGCAUGGUCUCAACUCAACCUCUGCCUCCCAGGUUCAAGCGGUUCUCCUGUCUCAGUCUCCCAAGUAGCUGAGAUCUCAUAGAUUCUUCUUCUUCUUAUUUUUUUUUUUUUUGAGGCGGAGUUUCACUCUUGUUACCCAGGCUGGAGUGCAAUGGCAUGAUCUCGGCUCACUGCAACCUCCGCCUCCUGGGUUCAGGCAAUUCUCCUGCCUCAGCCUCCUGAGUAGCUGGGAUUACAGGCACGUGCCACCGUGCCCAGCUAAUUUUUUGUAUUUUUAGUAGAGACGGGGUUUCACCAUGUUGACCAGGAUGGUCUCGAUCUCUUGACCUCGUGAUCCACCCGCCUCGGCCUCCCAAAGUGCUGGGAUCACAGGCAUGAGCCACCGCGCCCGGCCUGAUUAUUCUUUAGCAUCUAAAGGGUUUUUACUUCCAAUGGCUUUUUUAUGGAAUUUAUAAACUGAAGUGAUUUGCAGAAAACCAACAAAAAGCACACCAAAAUCACCUGCACAGAUUCCAAAGAUUUUAAUAAUUACAGAUGCGUGUCAUCAUUUCCCUGCUUUAAGUACAGCCCUGAACAGGCCUGAUACUUCUUCCAGUCUGGGCUAGGUCUGUCCCAGCCCUCUCUGGCUGAGGCUGCACGGCCUCCUCCCUUUCACUUCAGUUUUGUUGAAGACCGUGUGGCUGCUUCAGUGACAUGUCUGUGAUGAUUACCGGGCUUCCCAUUUCAAAGUGUUUACAUGUCUUCCGAUGGCCUUCACAUCAUUUCCCGGUAUUCUUUUUAGGAGGCGGCCAUGAGUUAAGGCAGUUUGAGCAUUCUCCAGGCUUACUUACUCCUAGAAAGGAAAUCUAUGCUUCUUUCUCUGAGAAUGGAGACAUUCCAGAUAGUAGGAGCUGCAUGCAACAGAAGCGUAUUUCUCAUCCAUGUACUAUUGGAAGCUUGGCUGUUGGCCAAGGGUUCUUCUCCAGCCAUGCAUUCAGAGACCCAGGCGGGCGAGAUCCUGCCAUGUUCUGCACAUAGGUGUAGAUAUCCAGCCAGCAGAAGGGAAAAGGAAAUGAGUGUAUCAGGUGGCGGGGGGAGGUUUAGGGACCCUGGAAGCACUGUAUGUCACUUCUCCCCACAUUCCUUGGCCAGAGCUCAUUUGUGUGGCUCCCCAUUGGACAAACAGGGCAGGGGGUGGGGGUGCUGGAAAUGUAUGCCCAGGCUGGGAACCCACUUUGUGGAAGCAGCAUUCUGUUCCAUGAUAGGGGAGCAGGAAUCGUGCAGGGACAGCUGGUUGUCCCUGGCACACAACAGAAGACAGUGGAGGGCGCUGCUCUUGGUGCCAAGGAAGCGAAAUCUGUCCUAAGCUCUGAGGUCAACAUUGUGGACAUGAGGUUGUUGGAAACACAUCUGUCAAAUCAUUCUCAUAUUCAAGCUAAGCCCCUAUUAAAUAUGCCACACCUCGAAGGCUUAGAAGCCUUUUAAGUUUCAGGCAAAUGCAGUACAGGGCGUGGGAUCUGUUUCUGACACUCAUGGGAGCUACUUGAAGACAGGCUCCAUCUGUGCCUCUUGCAACAAAGACACUCGAUAAAUGCAAGUUGAACAAACAAUGAUGGAGAAAUGCAAGUUCUUGGAAAUAAUAGUGGCUCACUUUUCCCAUGAAGGCAAUGUGGGCCACACCUGCGCCUAGCAUGUUAUGUGUGUAUCUCAUUUCAUCUCUUAAAUCCCCGAUACGAGGUAGGUUCAGUUAUGACGAUCCCAGUUUUGUAAGAGGGAGAACCAUGUGCACAGAGGACAUAAGUUGCUUCCAGCCUCGUGGCCAUGAGCAGCAGAGCUGGUAUUUAAGUCUGGGCCAUCUGUGAGCUGGGGAGAGAGAGGUAAAGAAGAUGCAUGGCACUGGGGAUGAGAGGGGCACGUGGUCCCAUUUCAGCAUUUUGUGAAGAUUCCACAGUGUGCUUCAUAGGGGCUGAAUGUCAUCAGGACUGCUCAUUAUCUGAGAUUCUUGCCAGAGAGCGCUGUUCCUUUCAGAUUGUAAUGCCAGUAACUGGGGCCAGUGGGGAUUUUAUAAUCAUACAAUCCCCAUUACAGAGAAACUGAGGCUUAGUCUGUAAAAGGCAUGCCCAGUGUUACAUUACAGUAGGUCAGAGUUGUUUCCAAAACAGUGUAUCUUAUUUUUCUUUUUUGGUUCCAUCCAAGCAGUAGCUGGUCACUGUUAAGGAGAUAGCUAACUAGUUGUCAAAAUACACCUGAGAUUUUUCUGAAGUUUAACCAUUUUAAAAAUAAAUCUGUCAUUUGUCAAUUAUUUGUAUAAUGAGCAAUUUUAGUCAAUACCCAUAAUCUCAGUCUCUCCAGAAUUUAACACAACGUGGGUGCGAUUCCUAUUGGACCUACACACUCAACCACAGAAUCGAGUCGGGUGAAAGAUUGGUUGACUGGAUUUGCCAUUUCACUGAGUACUGUGAAUGGGUCCAACUUGCAAGGCUCAGAACAGAAGCCACCAGAGCCACAGGGCGUGGAAGUCCAGUCCCACAGCUAUCUUGGCUCCUGGUGAGUUUGGUCAACUGCAAAUAUGUUAGCAAUAGACACUGCCAUUGCACAGGCCUGGAAAUGAGGCAUAGUUAACAGCUCUGUCAGAGAGCAGCAGCACCUUUCGUAUGGCACCCAGAUACUUCUAAAGACAACUUUGAGUGGGCCAGGCAUGGUGGUUCGUGCCUGUAAUCCCAUCACUUUGGGAGGCAGAGGCAUGUGGAUCACCUGAGGUCGGAAGUUCGAGACUAGCCUGACCAAUAUGGUGAAACCCUGCCUCUACUAAAAAUAGAAAAAUUAGCUGGAUGUGGUGGUGUGUGCCUGUAGUCCCAGCUACUCGGGAGCCUGAGACAGGAAAAUCUCUUAAACCUGGGAGGUGGAGGUUGCAGUGAGUUGAGAUUACACCACUGCACUCCAGCCUGGGCAACAGAGCGAGAAUCCAUCUUGGAAAAAAAAAAAAGAGAGAGAAAUUUGAGUUCAAUAAGGGGGAAAUGAAAAGCUGUCACAAAGUAAACUCUCAUAUGUAUUCAAAGGUAUGCAUUCUAUAGAUGAAUCAUUCACAGUUGGAUAAUUGAGUCACUCUUCUUGGUGAGCCAAAAGUCACCCAAAAGUAGGAAUAAUUUCCCAGCUUUUUUGAAAUGUGUGUGUGUGGGGCGUGUAAAUGUGCAAAGGGUAAGUUAUUCAAAAACCCAAUUAGUGGAGUUUAUUAACUCUUACUGCAGGUAUGUCUACCGCUGUGCUAUAUUCAUCCUCUUUUUUCCAGCCUUUUAAGUAUGAUUUUAAGAAGAAGUCUAAUGAGGGCAAGGUUAAAAAGUAGAAUAUUGUUUAUGUAAAACCCCUGGCUAUUACCAGCAUUUCCUAUAAAUGUAGCCAAUUGCAGUCAGCAGGCCGCCGUCAUUGCUGGAAUAGAAAUAUGACUUCAUUGUAAUCAUGAUCAUUAUUAUGUUAGUUUUUGUAGGAGACAUUGAGUGAAAAUGGCCAGGGACCUGUAAACGUGUGGGCAUGUGGAGACCUUUAUUCACUGUAGCAGCCCUCCCAGAAGAUCCCAUUUUCAUGUCUCAUAUUUUCCAUCUCUUAAGGGGAUAAAGUUCAAAAAGAAGAGAUCGUUUGAUGUUAUUGUGUUAUAUUUUUUUAAAAGGGGGAAAAAAGAGAGAUUACCCCAAGAAUGAUUCCUCACAUUCUGAAACUCAAGAGACGUGCAUAUUCUGGAUGAUUGACAGUUUAAUAAAUGACGGCGGGUGCAGUGGCUUAUGCCUGCAAUCCCAGCACUUUGGGAGGCUGAGGUGGGCAGAUCACGAGGUCGGUGGAUAGAUAGACACCAUCCUGGGCAACAUGAUGAAACCCCAUGUCUACUAAAAGUACAGUUAGCAGGGUGUCGUGGUGCACACCUGUAGUCCCAGGUACUUGGGAGACUGAGGCAGGAGUAUCACUUGAACCUGGGAGCUGGAGGUUGCAGUGAGCUGAGAUUGCACCACUGCAUUCCAGCCUGGUGACAGAGCAAGAUUCCAUCUUAAAAAUCAAAAUAAAACAAAAAAGACAGUUUAUAAAAUGACAACUGGGAAUAAAACGGGUUGUGUCAAGCUUUGUGAGUGGGGCCCGGGGUGGUGCAUUGCAAUCAAUGGCAGGCAUUGUGGUUUCUGUCAUUCCUUUAAAUGUUUGAGAAUAAAUAUUGAAUGCAUCUCCCCUGGAAGGUCUAUUUCUUAUUGUAUGAGUAUAACGCAAAUUAAAUAUCAUUUGUUUUUGUUGUAUUAAAGUGUUCCCCUGCUGUGGUGGUAUUGGCAGUAAUAUUGGUUCUAGGAACAUGAAAUAAAACCUGGUAAAUAUCACUGGGCAGAAUGGAAAUAUAGAGGCAGUGACCAAGCUCUCUCUUAUAGUGUAGUAUUCCUUCCCCACAGCGGUCAGGGAUCAGUUACGUUCGUUGACAUACACACUGCUUAUUUAGUAGGUUUUAGACUGUAGGUUUCUUUAUGCGUGAGUCUUGACCUACUGAAAUCAAUUUGCUGAGUUAUGACUGGCUUAAAACAAAAAGAAAAUAGAAUAUAAUAGAAAAUAAUAGGCCAGGCACGGUGGCUCAUGCCUGUAAUCCCAGCAUGUUGGGAGGCUAAGCCGGGCGGAUCACCUGAGGUCAGGAGUUCGAGACCAGCCUGGCCAACAUGGUGAAACCUCAUCUUUACUAAAAAUAUAAGAAUUAGCCAAGUGUGGGUGGCGAGUACCUGUGGUCCCAGCUACUCGGGAGGCUGAGGCAGGAGAAUUGCUUGAAUCUGGGAGGCAGAGAUUGCAAUGAGCCGAGAUUGCACCACUGUACUCUAGCCUGGGCAACAGAGCAAGACUCCAUCAAAAAAGGAAAAGAAUAAUGUACCAUGUAUCAUAACGACAAUAAAGUCUUGUUUUCUGCACCUCUUACUUCACCUCCGUGAACAGGUAUGUUUGUAUAAAAUAUGCUGGUUUAGGGAGACCAACUUGGUCUUCGAUGAUGAGUGUAGCUCCAUGUGGAUGACACUGCUCAGGGUAAAUGCAGACAGGAGCAAAGGACACUGCUCCUGACAAGGGCUUGGGCCAGAGUUGGCUUGUUCGCCUUCUUGCCAAGGGCUUCCACAUGCCCUCUGUCAGGGUCUUCGAAGUAUGAUGGAUGAUGCAUGCUAGUCUAAGAGCAGCAAUAUCUAAAGUGGCUGAGGGUCUAGGGAUAAGAAUGCUUUUAUUAAUCGAACAGCUAUAUUAACUAAAAGUGAUGCUCACUAUUAACCACUGUUUCCUGAUGCCAGGCAGUACGUGAACACCUUUAUGGGAUGUAUUAUAACUUAGCAUCCUUAUUUAGCACUCAGUUCUACUGAAUUGAUAAUUCAUUUAAUCUUUAUCCAUUUAGAUAAUUGCAGUGCACUAGUCCUCCAUUAUCUGAGGGGCAUGUGUUCCAAGACCCCAGUGGAUGUAGAAAUGGCAGGUAGUAGAUACACAUUAAGGAUUUUUUUUUUUUUUUUGAGACCGAGUCUCACUCUGUCGCCCAGGCUGCAGAGCAGUGGCGUCAUCUUGGCUCACUGCAACCUCCACCUCCCGGGUUCAAGCAAUUCUCCUGCCUCAGCCUCCUGAGUAGCUGACACUACAGGCACAUGCCACCACACCCAGCUAAUUUUUUUGUAUUUUUAGUAGAGACGGGGUUUCGCUGUGUUAGCUAGGAUGGUCUUGAUCUCCUAACCUUGUGAUCCACACACCUCAGCUUCCCAUAGUGCUGGGAUUACAGGCAUGAGACACUGUGCCCCUCUGAUGUACACUAGGGUUUUUUAAUCUGAUAACUGAGAUGGCUUCUAAGUGACUAACUGGCAGGUAGUGUAGACAGCAUGUGGAUGGAUGGGCUGGACAAAGGGAUUAUUCAUGUCCUGGGAGAGGUGGAGUGGGAUGCCACAAGGUUUCAUAGUUACUUGGAAUGGCUCACAAUUGAAAACGUAUUGAUUGUUUCUAUGUGGAAUUUUCCAUUUAAUAUUUUCAGACCACACUUGAUGGCAGGUAGCUGAAACUGAGGCUAAGGGGGCUGCUGUAUCAUCCUUCUGAAAUUCAGCACCAAAGCACAGCAGCGUAGAUGGAGACAGAAUAUAGAAAGGGCUGGGUGUGGUGGCUCUCACCUGCAAUCCCAGCACUUUGGGAACCCAAGGCAGGAAGAUCGCUUGCGCUCAAGAGUUCAAGACCAGCUUGGGCAAUAUAGUGAGACCUCGUCUCUACAAAAAAAAAUUUUAAACCCUUAGGUGAGUAUGGUGGUGUGUGCCUGUAGUCCCAGAUACUUGCGUGGCUGAGGUGGGAGGAUAGCUUGAGGCUGGGAGGCAGAGGUUAUAGGAAGCAAAGAUUGUGCCUCUGCACUCCACCCUGGGCGACAGAGCAAGACCCUGUCUCAAAAAAAAAAAGAAUGUAGAAAAGAUCUCUGUUUUCCCUUUAUUACCUCAAUUAUUAUUUGAAACAGGCAAUCUUUAAGCACUGGUUUUGUGCUAUACUCUUGUGACACGCACAAAAAACAGAUAUAUCAGCAUGAUGGCCAUUCAGAGUGGGGCACGCUGGAAUAGAGGGAGAUAAGUAUGAAUGUAUCCGGGAUUUUAAAGGAAGUUGGGACAAACGGUGCGGUUUGGGAAGACAUUUCCCAUCGCAAAGAUAUUUAAAAUAAAACUUAACAAGCACAUAAAAGAGUUUCCCAGCUGGAGAAAGACAAGGUUACAGAAGGGGUGGGCGACAGAGCCCAGCUUCGGGACAUAGCCUGGAAUUUGCUCCGUCCAGUCAGCCGUGGGUGUACUUCAGCUGUCAAUUUCUUCUUUCGCUUAAUAGAAUUCAGAAAAAAGUAAUUCCAGUUAUUCAGAGUACCAAUUAGUGGAGGCCUGGCUAGUUAAGGUUUCACUGUAAGUUUAGCCUAUCAGAAGUGUAAUCAUGCUUUUUUGUUUUAAAUAUGUUAAGUUUUUGUUGUUCUGUUUGUAUCGACUGGGGUAAAAUUUGAUCUGUGUCAUUUUGAUUUUGAGUUCUCACUUACUAAUCCAAGUUGGCAUCCCAUAUCCUCUUCCCAACAAGAAUUUAAAGUGUUUAUUACAAGGGAGAGGAGAGGAGGAGGGUCGAAUAAAACAUCGGCAGCAAGGCAGGUGGCCGGGCCUGUGGAGGAAGGAGAGCGAGUGUCUGCUGGAGCUUGUUACAGGGCAGACGCAGGGCGAGCAGUCAGAAGAUAGAGAUGGGGACGGGAAGCCUUGCCCAGCUCCGGGGAUUCCAGAACAUAGAGGGCAGAGGCCAAUGUAUUCAGCAUGAUAGCUUCUUGUCUCUAAUCUCUCUUGGAUUCUUCCAGUAUGAUAAGGACAAGUACAUGUUUGGUGGAAGCGUGGCAUAGCAAAAACACCAGGGGGCCUUGCGCACCUGCCAUUGCCAUUCAUUACCUCGGGCAAGACCCUCUCAGCGCCUGCAUUCAUAGCUGCAAAAUUAGCCAUACACAUGCUUCCUUCAAGGCCUUCUGCUGGGAGGAUUUCUGAGGAUUUAAAUAUGCUUAGCACAGAGUGCAGGCCAGAGGAGAUACUCCACAAAUGGGUUUUCCUCCCCAUCCCUCUAACCCUAAGUAGAAUCCUGUGCUAAACUUUGACUAAGAAUGACUUUGUGGCUCCGGCCCCCACUGUCUUUUGUUUAACCUCCGCUCUCUAAAGGCCAGAAUAUGUUUCUACAACACAGUGCAUUUUAGUGCUGUACAAACGGUACAGUCAUUUCCAGCCAGGGCCUCCGUGGAUCCCCCAGCCGUUCCACGUAUGUGUCCCUGAGUAGUAUAAUCUCAGCUACUCGGGAGGCUGAAGCAGGAGAAUUGCUUGAACCUGAGCAGUGGAGGUUGCCGUGAGCCAAGAUCUUAUCACUAUACUCCAACCUGGCAACAGAGGGAGACUCCAUCUCAAGAAAGAAAGAAAAUAAUAAGGAACUUUAGGAGUGAAGGAAUCUUUACCUUUUACCAGCUGUGUUCCCUUGAGCCAGUUCUGUAGCUUCUGAGCUGAGGUUUCCACCUCUGGAAGAUAGGUCAGUGCGUGCCUUGCCCUGCUCACAUAUUGUAAGAAUCAGAAGAAACAGUGGAAGUGAACAUGUUUCACAGUGUGGAAUCGAAUAGCUGGGUGUGUCAAGUCAUCUAAUCCUUAUUACUCCUGUGUACGAGGCAUAACUAACAACAGAAUAAGACCCAGUGGGAACGGCAGCUUAGAGGGUGGAAGGGUAAGAGCUUUGAGGACCGAGAUGAAUUGUGUCAUCAGCAGCGCCUAACACAGUGUGUGGUGUGGGAGAGGAUGCCCUGGAGAUUUGAACUGAACCAGGAUUCAAAUCCGGAUCUGGAGGUCUUCGUGUCAUCAAAAGAUCUGAAAGCCAGAAGGCACCUCAGAGGAUUGAAGCUAGGAGGAGGUGAAGGACUGAGGAGAUGGUUGCUGGCAGCUUGCCUCACCUUGGGCUGGAAACUGGGAGCUGGGAGAAGAGGUGGGAGGAGUUGUACCUCUUUUCCUUUUUCUUCUUCUUUUUUUUUUUUUUUUUUUGGAGAUAGAGUCUUGCUCUGUCACCCAGGCUGGAGUACAGUGGUCCGAUCUCAGCACACUACAACCUCUGCCUCCCAGGUUCAAGUGAUUCUCCUGCCUCAGCCUCCCGAGUAGCUGUGGGAUUACAGGUGCACGUCACCAUGUCUGUCUAAUUUUUGCAUUUUUAGUAGAGACAAAGUUUUGCCAUGUUGGCCAAGCCGGUCUCAAACAUCUGACCUCAGAUGAUCUGCCCACUUCAGCCUCCUAAAGUGUUGGGAUUACAGGCAUGAGCCACAGCACCCAGCCCGGAGUUGCAUCUCUUAACAGCAUCCAAGUUAGAGUCUCAGGCAAGGGAGCAGGCGUCCUUGCUCUGGGGCCUGCACUGUGGCAUGAGCGUAGUGGGCACAGAUCUUUUGGCAGAAGGUGGCCGCCCAGGUCCAAGCCUCAGACGUCUUUCUUCCUUGUUAGACCUUCCCCCUGGAUGAGUCACCUGGGUAGGGGGCGGGUGAGAACCUCUUUGUGGAGGUUCUGGGAAAGCCGAUGGAGCUUCCAGCCUCCACAAUUAUGUAAAUGGCAAGUUAGAAAAAAACAAAGGCCUUGUGGGCUUGUAAAGAUGGAAUACACUGUAGCUGAGAAAAUUCUUGGCUGAGAAAAUGUGACGAGUGCUAAGGCAGUGGUUGGAAGAUUUUUUUUUCUUCUUGGUAAAGGGAGACAGUGGCUGCAGAAGGCACCAGCUGUCCCCACCUCUUUGCCAUUGUUGAAACAAACGCGCAAAUGGAAAGGACUUUGCAAUGCGGAGUCUAAGGAGGGAAAAUGAAAAUUUGACAGAUACAAGGAACCAAAUGCAUUCUGAAAUCUUUGGGGAGUAAAAAUAUCUAGUAUUGAGACAGCCCAAACCUAUGAGUCUGUAAACUCAGAAACAGCAAGAAGCUUUUUCACAGGAAAAGGAAACUCAGUGCUCUAGGUACACAGAGGUAGAGAGGAGGGUCUCUGUGUUUUAAUCUGUCACCCGAUGUCUUCCAUAGCUGUGGGACUAUGGAACAAUUCCGUUUCCUCUCUGUAGCAACAUCCAUGAAAGUAUCUGUUUACUUAAUGCCUCAGGAAAUCAUUUAGAUUUAUGAUUUGAUCAGUUUCAAAGUAUUUCUGCCGAGUUUUGUUACUUUGUUUAACUUUUUAAUUUUGUGGUAGCUGGUGGAUUGUAGGCAUGUUUAGCAAUUGGGAAAUGUCUAAGGAGAGACUCUCUUUGAUACAAAGCCAGUAGGAAGGGAAUUGAAGGAGGAGAGUCUAUGCCCCAGUUUUUUGUUUUCAUUUCCCCAGCCCUGGAGUCAGACCGCAUAGGUUUGCAUCCUGACUCUUCAAGUUACUGUGUGACUUUGAGCAAACUUCUUAACUUUUCUGUGCCUCGGUUUCCUCUCUUUAAAAGGUGAUCGUAAUAGUAUUUACCGCACAGAUUGUUAUGAGGAUUAAAUGAGAGACUAUAUAAAUGUUUAAAGCAAUGUAUAAGAUCAUAUUUCAAAAGAAAGUGAACAGUUACCAUUUGCGACUAUCAACUUCGAAGACACUUAAUUUCAUCUUUAGUUUCCACACUUAGAACGCAAAGUGUGUAUCCGGAUCCAGAUGGAAUGACAUUGAUUUACGUUAUAACAGUGCUAUGCUGCAGUCACCAGAAUAUUUCCGGACAAUCUCUUGAUAACUUUCAGUAAUUUGGCUGUGCCCUGUCAUUCAUUCCAUACGUGUUUAUUGAGCAUCUAUUAUAUGCUAGAAACUACAUGACCUAUGGAAAAUAUGAAUAUGAAAAAUAAAGAGUCCACAGAUUAGUGGCAGAGACAGAGAAGCAAACAGAUGCCUUUGAUACAGUAUUUUGUAUGUUAAUGUUGUUAGCCCUCUUGACAGUGACUGGAGAGACCAGGUGGGUGCUCAGACUUCUUUUGGGCUCGGGUUCUGCACUUCGUGGGAUGGGGUCUGGGGUAAUUUGCCACCAGCAAGCCUUGGAUUAAGCCACCUGCUGCUGCCCAGAAUGCGAUCCAGCUUUUCCCAGUGACAAGGCAGCUUUAGGAGUCAGGACCCAGGCAAGCGGGGCGGGUUGUGGGGGGUGUAUGUAAAGAACUACACUGUAUUCCACUAAGAACAAAUAACUACUCACACAGCAAUACCUCUAGUAUAUAAACAGAGGCAUCCGGGCUGAGCACGACUCCAUCAGCGACACGUACCCCUGAGUGUACACCAGGUAUAAAAAGUCAUCCAUAUCUCUGUUGCGUAUGACAUUCGAUCAGUCACUAUUGGAGUGUUCAUCAACUCGUUCAGACUGUAACAUGGAUCUUUGUUGGGUGGAUUAAGCUUUUGAAUAUAUUGCUUGUCUGUUUCAUCCCGCAGUCAAAAUCCAGCCCCCACAUAAGUCUGUUGCUGGAUAGAGCUCCCAGUUAUGGAAGUCUGUCCUCUUUUUCUCCCCUUCUGUUUCUUGGUAUUAAUUUCAGCUUAAUCAAGUCUUCUGGCCCUGUGAUUCCAGGAACAGUUGGUUUCUGGCUAAAAGCAAAACAGAAAACCGACUCUUUUCAUCGCAUAAGGUGAUGUGGCAAGAACUCGUUUCUAAGGAGUACAAGAUCUAGCCUAGCCAUUUUCAGCGGUGGCCAUAGCGGACUGGAACAGGGGCGCCACCUGCAGGCGGAGGGGGAAAACACAGAGCAAGAAACGCAAACCUUGCUUUGCAGGGCCGGCAUUUAAAGGCAAAGGAGAUGCAGUCCCUCUUUACUGAUAGACAGUAAAGAACUCAGCAGGCUUGCUUGUAGAUAAAUAUGCAUGAGAAUGUGACGUUGGAAGAGCUCUCACAUACUCCCUUCAUUGCUGCCUUUUGGAGUUUCAGAAUGUUUGACGUUUUUAUGUUUAUAUUUUUCUUUGUCAGAGUAUGGAGAUGCUAAAACCAUCUUCCAGGGCACUUGGUGCUUCUUGGUACUGCGGGCCAGUCUUUUCAAAGACAGUAGUGCCAGGCAAAGUAUUCUGUACUCUCACAAGAGGAGGCGGAUGCCGUUGCAUUCCCUGUUAUAUGAGGCAGGGAAGGACGCUGUGGCCCUGAGCCAGGGUCUGCACACCACUUUGGUCUCUGUCCUUUCUGGCAGAUCUAAAUAUCAACUCCGUCUACAUGUUUUUACAGAAACAACAGUGCUGGUCUAGAAUGAAGGGAGCAUUACAGCAAUGAUGAUCAGACGUUUGUUUUUCAAUAUGCUGUGAAAAAUAACUUGGUCCAAAAUAAAAUUCUCUCCAUAUAUUUCUAUUUAGAUACUUACCUCCCAUAAAGGCAAAAUGUUUUUCUUGGAUGUGAUUUUAGAUUCUCUCUGUGCCCUACCAGCAGAUCAGGUUUCUUGUAAGUUUUUCAGUGGAAAAUGUGAUCAACAGAUGUAUCACCUCUUCCCCUGUUAGCUUUGUUUAUCAAUGCUUUUGAGGGACGGAGUAGGUUUACCAGCUGAUUCCUGCAUUUUAUCAGGUACAAGGGACACAGCAGAUGUGGAAGAUGCUUUUAAGAACUUCACCAAGAAGCUCAAGGCCCGCCCUAAGGGAAGCUCCACUGUUUUCAGCUGAAGCUCUCCAGGGACAAUAGGAACUGAUGUUUUUGGAAGCCUCACACUGCAGGGGUCAGUGUUGCAGGUUCAGGAAUGUCAGGAUACAUAUCUGUGAGGCGCACACAUAACUGUAGUUCCAAGCCAGCCUGUAGCAGUGCCGUGGAGGGAUGCACAGGGUGAAGAAGGGUGCAGCUGGAGCUGCUGCAGCAGAACGCUGGAGACUGGGCAGCUUCAAUGCAAAUAUGUGUUUCUCACAGUUAUGGAGGCUGGAAGUCCAAGAGCAAGGUGGUGGCAGAUUCAGUUCCUGGUGAGGGCUCUGUGUAUGGUUUGCAGACAGCCUCCUUCUCGCUGUGUCCUCAUGUUGUAGUCAAAAAGAGGGCUCUGGCAUCUCUUCUCAUAGGGACGCUAACCACAUCGUGGGGGCCCCACUCGUUUGACAUCAUCUAACCUGGUCAUCUCCCAAAGGUUUCACCUCCUAAUACCAUCACACUGGGGUUAGGGUUUCAACAUGUGAAUUUGGGGGUACAUAACGGAGGGGAAGUUGCAGCUGUACGAUGAUCAGGCUGAGAGAAUUAGACUCUAUUGUGCCCCCUCACUACACACACACCCCUGUGCUCAUAAGAAAAAUGAAAUAGCGAAGGGGAGGACACUGAGCUUAGCAGCAGCAGGUGCCAUUGUCAGUUCCACACGUGGGAGAGCCUCAGAACCCACCCUCCGUGAAAGGAGGAAGGCAUGAGCAUUUAAAAAAACUACUUCCCCGUGGAAAAGAUGCUUUCGACAUUCCUGGAGACAUAGUACCUAUUUCAGAUCCCCUUAGAGCUUCUGUUAAGUGGAGCCUCUUUUAAGAGUCAGAGGAUAGGCGACGUGUGAUGUGUGGACAGUGCCUUUGGUUUAUCUAAGUCUUGUUUUGGCUUCGGGGUUCCCAUGAAUUGUAUUUUACCCUGAGGUGGGUGAAGUGUGGCAUUAGGUUAACUUUGCUCCCACCAAUUCCAGGGGUGCCUCUUGCUAACUGGCUUCUCCCAGCAAUGACAUUUGAGGCUGGAAUGGUUUCUGUGUUGGCACGGUACCCACUUGUGCACUGGCAGCUUAUUGGUUAAAACAAAAACCUAAAAGAAACGGGAGGGAAUGUAGACUUUGAUCAGUGUUUGUAGAAAUCUGAAAGAAGGGUUGGGGCUCCUCUACGUGUCCUCCCUUCAGUUACAGAUGUUCGUUAGGAUGUGGUCAGACAUGGGGAAGGGCAGGCAGGUGGGCAUGUAAGCAGGGCCCCCGACGAGUGGCAUUUACCCAGAUGGAGGCCCCGCAGCCCAACGUCUAGACCUCAGCUGGUUUGUCAACACACCAAGUGUGGAUCUUUUAGUCGGCACAAAAUCCCUCGGCAGAGACAGAAUGCCAGUAUUAUUCAUUCAUAGUGAAAUGUAUAAUUAUCCAGUGGGCUCAUGUUUGCUAAGUAGCAUCGUCUUUCCCAUUUAGGCAAAAAUACUUAAAAAGGCAAACUACAAUCAGAAGAUCACUUGGCUGGAUGGGAUCAGAGCAGGAGGAGGGAAUGGGGUUAUGUUGAUAGCUGGUGCCAUCAGGCUGUGAUAGAUGGUCAGGAACCCUCAUCUGCACUGUAAGGACGUCCCUGUCACAGACCGUGGUCCUGGUGAGUUGCCAGGACUCUCCUUCCCCAUUGGUCCUCCAGAGGCGCUGCUGACUGGGGAGGCAGUGGGCUUCUCUAAGUCUCUUACCUAUGGUCCCCCUGCUGACCAACCCCGCUGUCAGCCCCCACCGCUGUAGGCAUGUUAUAUGUUAAGAAUAUGAAUCUGGACAACUGCCUACCUUCAUACACAGCAUAGUCCACAAAAUAUGCACUGCUCUGCAAAAUGGAGCAAUACACUUACAUGACCCCAGCCCAGAGAGGUUUAAAAGUAUAUUUAUAUUUUUAUAUAAAUAUACUUUAUAUAAAAGUAUAUUUAUAUUUUUAUAUAAAUAUACUUUAUAUAAAAGUAUAUAAUAUUAAGCUGUUAAAAGGGCUGUAUCAUUUCUUAAAAUCUGCAGAGCCUGGUUCCAAAUCAGUCACUCCCUUCAGAAGCAGACAUGGCAUCUGUUCCUUGUUACCUUUCACUAGAACUGCAUUUUAGAAUUGCCCAGUGCUGCCAGAAUGAGUGAUUGUAAUUCUGCUUUCAGGUAAAGAUGGCCUAUAUUAACACUGCUGAGUGAUUCAUAAACUAUCAACAAAUAGCAUUAACCCAUUUUAUUUCCUAGUCUUAGCAUCUGAAGAUGUUCACCAGUUUUCUGUGUACAGUAAGGCAUCAUGCUAAAAUGCUUUUGUUCAGUUCUGUAUAUUUGAAAAUAGCAGUGUGUUCUCUGAUGGUUACCUGUAAUGGCACCUUGUAUGGAAAAUAAAGACUUAUAGUUAUAAAAAAAAAAAAAAA